UUUAGGAAGUGGCUUCUCUGAGAGCUCCAGGCAGAUUGUUUAUAUGCCUGUUGGAACAACAUCACACAAUUUGCUGCUUUGAUGGAAGACAGUUCUACAGCAUAAAUACAUCUCUGGAGCUUCAUUGUCGGCCUGGGUACUGAUUCAUGCUUGCUGCAGGAACCCAUGCCAUGCUUUGGCAAAAGCAGAGGAAAAUCUGAGCCAAGAACAUUACGUGGGGAAUCCCCACUACUGCAACAUGAAUAGGAAAUAAAGUAAAUCAAAAUGAGAAAAAUAUUUUUACAAGGCUCAAAGUAGAUGAAGAGAGCAUAUUCAGAAAUGUCUGCAUUGAUCAUACAAAUCGAAUUCUGGCCUCCUGGAUUUAUCUAAGAACAUAAUAUUUAUAAUAUGCUUUUACAUUUGGGACUGUAUGAUACUCCUGUUUCCUUAUUAGCACAUAAAUACUUGGAAAUCAUUUGCAUUUAGAUAUAUCACUGCACAUUCCAGGCCAGUUAGCUACAUUAUGCAGUCCUAAACAGCCAAGACAUCUUUGCAGAAUUGGCAGUCCUGUGAUAGCUGCUUUCAGAAUAAGUCAUUUGCAUAAUACAUUUACAUUUAUAUUAGCAGGUAAUAGUGCUUUGUAACUGUCACACCCCAUCCUAUAUUUAUACCUUGCUGUAAUAAUCUUAGCACAAUUGUACCCAGAUAAUUGUGAACCUGGGACUCCUGUCCAAAAAUCUAGUUAGGGUUCCUCUCUCACUAAUGCUAUGUUAGAAACAAUACCUAUAUAAUUAUUGCUCAUUCUACAUUAGAAUGUUAGGACUUUUUAAUUUAGAGAUGGAGCAGAUUGUGCACGGACAGUGACACCCAUUUUAGUGCAAACAACAUUUCCCAUUAGUGAAAACUUUGACUUUUCAUUGAAUUGGUUGAAUAAAACAGUUUUACUUAGGGAGGAGAGCCAGAUUUCACUUUGCAAAGACUUAAAAAACUAAUGGUGACAUGUAAUAAAAGUCACAAACAUAAAAAUAAUUUGCACACAUAAUAAUAACAAUUCACAUAUUGAAUUGUAAUAUUCUUCAUUAGACAGUGACUGCAUAGUGAAUUUAAUUGCCCAUUGAACUUUGCCUGCAGGAGUAAAUUUGAGCGACUUCAAAAAACCAAUGUGAUGCGUAGGCCUUUCUACCAGCGAUUCCCUUUGUUGCCAGUGGAAAGGCAUUUAGGAGAGAUUAGCCGCUUGCAGUAGCAGAAAUUUAUUGUGGGCGACUAAUCACUGCGAGGCAUAGCUGAAGGGGAAAAGGUAGGAGACAUGCAGGUCAGCUAGUAUAAAGUUUCAGUUGUUCAGAGAAAAAGGGACACCUAUGCACAUAUGCAAAUACUGUAUAGGAAAAACCAAUAGAUUUCACUAGUGAUGUUUCUGUAAAGUCUGCCUCAAAUUUACCAGCAGAUUAUAGGUGUGUAGGUAAUUAGUAAUCCCAGAACAUAAUACACACCAGAAAGUUUAAAAGGCAGCUUUGGAAUAAAGAUGGUAGUUAAAGAGGCAAGAUGGUUCAAGCGCUGCUUUUUAAGAUGGUGAUUAGAGUUAUGGUAUAGCUUUAAGGAAAACUUGAACCUGAGGUUGCCUUUGCAAAGAGAGGCAGAAGA